CUGCGGCCUCUAUACAUGCAAGUCGAGCGGACAGAUGGGAGCUUGCUCCCUGAUGUUAGCGGCGGACGGGUGAGUAACACGUGGGUAACCUGCCUGUAAGACUGGGAUAACUCCGGGAAACCGGGGCUAAUACCGGAUGCUUGAUUGAACCGCAUGGUUCAAUUAUAAAAGGUGGCUUUUAGCUACCACUUACAGAUGGACCCGCGGCGCAUUAGCUAGUUGGUGAGGUAACGGCUCACCAAGGCAACAAUGCGUAGCCAACCUGAGAGGGUGAUCGGCCACACUGGGACUGAGACACGGCCCAAACUCCUACGGGAGGCAGCAGUAGGGAAUCUUCCGCAAUGGACAAAAGUCUGACGGAGCAACGCCCCGUGAGUGAUGAAGGUUUUCGGAUCGUAAAACUCUGUUGUUAGGGAAAAACAAGUACCGUUCGAAUAGGGCGGUACCUUGACGGUACCUAACCAGAAAGCCACGGCUAACUACGUGCCACCAGCCGCGGUAAUACGUAGGUGGCAAGC
rnacentral:rRNA from 1 species